GAUAAGUGCUGAAAGCAUCUAAGCACGAAACUUGCCCCGAGAUGAGUUCUCCCUGACUCCUUGAGAGUCCUGAAGGAACGUUGAAGACGACGACGUUGAUAGGCCGGGUGUGUAAGCGCAGCGAUGCGUUGAGCUAACCGGUACUAAUGAACCGUGAGGCUUAACCUUACAACGCCGAAG
rnacentral:rRNA from 1 species